GACGAACGCUGGCGGCGUGCUUAACACAUGCAAGUCGAACGGUAAGGCCCUGCUUUUGUUGGGUGCUCGAGUGGCGAACCGGUGAGUUACAUGUGACUUACCUGCCCUUCCCUUUGCUUUAUCUUCACGAAACUGGGGUUUAUCCCGUAUAGGAUCUCCUGCUGCUUUGUGGGGGUUGGUAUGUUUCGGCGGUUGGUGAUGGUCUCGCGGCUUUUCCGCUAGUUGGUGGGGUAGUGGCUUUCCAAGGCUUUGACGGGUAGCCGGCCUGAGAGGGUGACCGGCCACAGUGGGACUGAGAUGCGGCCCAGACGCGUAGGGGAGGGAGCAGUGGGGAAGAUUGCACAAUGGGGGGAAGGCGGAUGCAACAAAGCCGCGUGCGGGAUGAAGGCCUUCGGGGAGUAAACCGGGUUCGCCUGGGACGAAGCGUGAGUGACGGUAAUGGGAAAAGAAGCACCGGCUAACUACGUG
rnacentral:rRNA from 1 species